rnacentral:rRNA from 1 species
GACGAACGCUGGCGGCGUGCUUAACACAUGCAAGUCGAACGGCAAGACCCUGCUUUUGUGGGGUUCUCGAGUGGCGAACGGGUGAGUAACACGUGAGUAUCCUGCCCUUGACUUUGGUAUAACUUCAGGUAGCUGGGGCUACUACCGGAUAGCAUCUCCUGCUGCAUGGUGGGGGUUGGAAAGUUUCGGCGGUUGGGGAUGGACUAGCGGCUUAUCAGCUUGUUGGUGGGGUAGUGGCUUACCCAGGCUUUGACGGGUAGCCGGCCUGAGAGGGUGACCGGCCACAUGAGGACUGAGAGACGGAGCAGACUGCUACGGGAGGCAGCAGUGGGGAAUAUUGCACAAUGGGCGGAAGCCUGAUGCAGAAACGCCGCGUGCGGGAUGACGGCCUGCGGGGUGUAAACAGCUGUCGCCUGUGACGAAGCGUGAGUGACGGUAAUGGGUAAAGAAGCACCGGCUAACUACGUG